rnacentral:lncRNA from 1 species
ACCGGAAAGAAGAAAACAUUAAAGCAAAGCAAAAUUAACACACAAAUAUCAAGACUAUUAUACUUCGAUAAUGCAACUAUUCUUCCUCUCUUACAGUUACAGGUAAUUAUGGGUCAAUUAACUCCACUCUUUAAACACCAAAAAGAAGGUGUAUUAGGACCAAUAGUAUACUUGCAUUUAGUAGCAUCAGCAACAACAACCAUGUCAUAUCCUACUAUAUGGGAUCAAAUAAACGGAUGUAAG